rnacentral:rRNA from 1 species
UACGAAGGGGGCUAGCGUUGUUCGGAUUUACUGGGCGUAAAGCGUGCGCAGGCGGUUUUGUAAGUCUGUCGUGAAAGCCCCGGGCUCAACCUGGGAAUUGCGAUGGAGACUGCAAGGCUUGAAUCUGGCAGAGGGGGAUAGAAUUCCACGUGUAGCAGUGAAAUGCGUAGAGAUGUGGAGGAACACCGAUGGCGAAGGCAGCCCCCUGGGUCAAGAUUGACGCUCAUGCACGAAAGCGUGGGGAGCAAACAGG